GACGAACGCUGGCGGCGUGCUUAACACAUGCAAGUCGAACGAAGUGGCGAACGGGUGAGUAACGCGUAAUCAACCUGCCCUUCAGAGGGGGACAACAGUUGGAAACGACUGCUAAUACCCCAUACUGAAGGAGGGGAUUGCGUCUGAUUAGCUAGUUGGAGGGGUAACGUCCCACCAAAGCGAUGAUCAGUAGCCUGUCUGUGUGGGUGAACGGCCACAUUGGGACUGGAACACGGCCCAGACUCCUACGGGGAGCAGCAGUGGGGAAUCUUCCGCAAUGGGCGAAAGUCUGGCGGAGCAACGCCGCGUGGGUGGUGGCGGCCUUCGGGUUGUAAAGGUCUGUUAAUCGGGGCGCGGUACCGGAAUAGGAAGCCACGGCUAACUACGUGCCAGCAGCCGCGGUAAUAC
rnacentral:rRNA from 1 species